CUUCAAGAAACUCCUGCAAGAAAAUAAAUGGUUCAUAGAUAGAUCGAAUUUGUUGUUUUUUUAUUACGAGAAAUGGAAUAUCUAUCUUGAUUCGAGAUUAUUUUUUCAGUGGUUUGGGCAAGGGAAAGAAGAGCAGCAUAAGCCAUCUUUGGUGAUCACACUUAAGAAGUUUUUGCUACUAGAUUUUUGCAGAUAAAGAUAAACUAAGCUGGAAGAAAGGCUGAAAGAGAGCAGGGCUAGUUGAAUACAUAAAACCAAGCAUAUGAUAUGUUUUCCUUUUACAAUAAAGCGAAUGAAUUGUCUACUUUAUUUUUGCAAGUGGAGGACGAAAUGACAAAGUUGCCCUUGGAAAGGCAUUUCUGCGGGCCCUUAACCAUUUAUGUCUAUCAAUUCAUUUCCUCAUCUAAAAUAACUUUUGAAUAAGUUCUAUAAUUUGAUAGAACU
rnacentral:lncRNA from 1 species